GGAAAAAAAUUGUUUCCUUAUCUUGUUUUAGAAACUUUUUAUAUACAAUUUUUUAACACUCUAUAAAUACCAAAAGCCAUCCUAAACAUGGAGAACAUCCCUUUGGCCAAAAAAUAACAUAUUUUACGUAUUCUGGAGGCAAAGAACAAGGAACAAUCAUCAACCUUUCUUCAUUAUUUCUCGAUUUGAGUGAUGUCUUUUCAUUAUUUAUUUUAUAGUUUAAUGGUUGGCUAGAUUUUUCAAAUGUAUUGGAUGUAUGUUUGAACCUUGCUUUCAUUUAUUUUAAUUCAAGACUUCAAUUUAGGAAUUUCGUGCUAUUACCUGAUUGAUUUACAAACCCAUUGCACUACUUAUUGCUUGAUCACCAAUUAAGUAGUUAGAUGCUCUUUGUAGCAUAGAAAUACUCAUAAUGAGUUUAAAACACAGUAAAAUCAACAUGAGUAUUUAGAAUUAGGAAUAAUCUAUCUUACACAUGCAAUCUUAUUGAUAAUCUAAACUAAAUGCAUGACUUUAAUAUGAAUUCGGACUAGCUAGGAAUAGGACCGUAUUGUGUUAGUUAUAGGUUAGUAUAUCUUAGAAAAGAGCAUUUAACAUAUUAGCUUUAUCGAUCGUCAAAAAUACAUGAAUUGAAUAGAAUAAUU
rnacentral:lncRNA from 1 species